GAAUGGAUUGGUAGAGGGUGUGGAAGCGUAUUAGGGCCUUGAUUAGGCUUUAAAAAGGAAGAAAAACGAAGAACAGCGAAUAGGGAAAAACCCAGAAAACAGAGGAGGAAAAAAUUCUGAGAAUUCGAGUUUUGGUUGCUUAAGAUUGGUUGUCAAUCGAGGGUAAAGGAAGAGAGAUUGUUGCUGAGGAAUCCUUUGAGGAAGGGGAUACGGCCACGAGCUGAAUCGGACGGUGAUUCGAAGGAAGGAGAGGUUGAAGACGAGCGCGUGGGAGGACGCGAGUGUAAGUGCGACUGUGCGCGGAUCAGGCGCGUGAGAAACGAACCCCGGUUUUGUGUUGGCGCGUGAGAAUGUAUUUUGGCUCCCAGUUUGUCUCGUUCGACUCCUUUUGACUUGUCCUAUCAAAAUUGGUCUAUAUUUAUGUUGAAAUUGAUAAAAUAUAGGUCUAAUAGGAAGGAAUUGUGUUGGAAUACCUAUUAAACGUACAUUCAAGGGGGAAAAGGAAUUCGAAACCAAAUUUAGAUGAUGCAGGCCAACCGAAGAUGAGACCAAGCGGGCUAGAGACUAUUGGGAAUCCAUGUCUGGGUCUAUUUAUGUAAUUAUGCUUUAGUUGUCAAGAAUUUAUUUCGGCUUUUGAGAAUAUGAUUAGCUGUUAAGAGUAUGUUAUCGUUGUUGAUGGUAACUCUUGUUAAUCGCGCUGACGAUGAACGGGUGUUACAAACAGUAUUUUAAUUUUUUUUUAAA